AGCAGCCGCGGUAAUUCCAGCUCCAAUAGCGUAUAUUAAAGUUGUUGCAGUUAAAAAGCUCGUAGUUGAAUUUCGGGAUCAAUAUGUUGGUCGUGCCUUGGUACGUACUGGCAUUAUCGAUUCCUACCUUCUGAAGAACCUCGAUGUCAUUAAUUUGGUGUCUUGGGGAAUCAGGACUGUUACUUUGAAAAAAUUAGAGUGUUUAAAGCAGGCUCGCGCUUGAAUACAUUAGCAUGGAAUAAUGAAAUAGGACGUUUGAUUCUAUUUUGUUGGUUUCUAGGAUCGACGUAAUGAUUAAUAGGGAUAGUUGGGGGCAUUAGUAUUCAAUUGUCAGAGGUGAAAUUCUUGGAUUUAUUGAAGACUAACUACUGCGAAAGCAUUUGCCAAGGAUGUUUUCAUUAAUCAAGAACGAAAGUUAGGGGAUCGAAGACGAUCAGAUACCGUCGUAGUCUUAACCAUAAACUAUGCCGACUAGGGAUCGGAUGAUGUUAAUUUUUUCAAUGACUCAUUCGGCGCCUUA
rnacentral:misc_RNA from 1 species